AGUAACACGUGGGUAACCUGCCUUAUAGUGGGGGAUAACCUUUCGAAAGGAAGAUUAAUACCGCAUAAGAUUGUAGUAUCGCAUGAUAUAGCAAUUAAAGGAGCAAUCCGCUAUAAGAUGGACCCGCGUCGCAUUAGCUAGUUGGUGAGGUAAUGGCUCACCAAGGCGACGAUGCGUAGCCGACCUGAGAGGGUGAUCGGCCACAUUGGGACUGAGACACGGCCCAGACUCCUACGGGAGGCAGCAUG
rnacentral:rRNA from 1 species